UAAUAGAGUUUUGCACUGCCUGGAAAAACGAUAUCAGUGCGGAGGUGCAGCUGGAAUCAUUUUCAGUGGGCGCAGAUUUUUUCUACAAACUUAUCGAUGACACGGAAUGGGUUAGCUCAAGGCACCUGGACAUGGCAACCUUUCUUAUCC